rnacentral:rRNA from 1 species
AAACUCAAGAGUUUGAUCCUGGCUCAGAUUGAACGCUAGCGGGAUGCUUUACACAUGCAAGUCGAACGGCAGCACAAACUUCGGUUGGGUGGCGAGUGGCGAACGGGUGAGUAAUGUAUCGGAACGUGCCUAGUAAUGGGGGAUAACCACGCGAAAGCGUGGCUAAUACCGCAUAAUUCCCUAAGGGGUAAAGCGGGGGAUCCUUUGGACCUCGUGUUAUUAGAGCGGCCGAUAUCGGAUUAGCUAGUUGGUGAUGUAAUGGAUCACCAAGGCGACGAUCCGUAGCUGGUUUGAGAGGAUGACCAGCCACACUGGGACUGAGACACGGCCCAGACUCCUACGGGAGGCAGCAGUGGGGAAUUUUGGACAAUGGGGGAAACCCUGAUCCAGCCAUCCCGCGUGUGCGAUGAAGGCCUUCGGGUUGUAAAGCACUUUUGGCAGGAAAGAAACUGCGUCAGCUAAUACCUGACGAAACUGACGGUACCUGCAGAAUAAGCACCGGCUAACUACGUGCCAGCAGCCGCGGUAAUACGUAGGGUGCAAGCGUUAAUCGGAAUUACUGGGCGUAAAGCGUGCGCAGGCUGUUCGGAAAGAAAGAUGUGAAAUCCCAAGGCUUAACCUUGGAACUGCAUUUUUAACUACCGAACUAGAGUGUAUUAGAGGGAGGUGGAAUUCCACAUGUAGCAGUGAAAUGCGUAGAUAUGUGGAGGAACACCGAUGGCGAAGGCAGCCUCCUGGGAUAACACUGACGCUCAUGCACGAAAGCGUGGGGAGCAAACAGGAUUAGAUACCCUGGUAGUCCACGCCCUAAACGAUGUCAACUAGCUGUUGGGACCUUCGGGUUUUAGUAGCGAAGCUAACGCGUGAAGUUGACCGCCUGGGGAGUACGGUCGCAAGAUUAAAACUCAAAGGAAUUGACGGGGACCCGCACAAGCGGUGGAUGAUGUGGAUUAAUUCGAUGCAACGCGAAAAACCUUACCUACCCUUGACAUGUCUGAAAUCCUGGAGAAAUUUAGGAGUGCUCGCAAGAGAAUCAGAACACAGGUGCUGCAUGGCUGUCGUCAGUUCGUGUCGUGAGAUGUUGGGUUAAGUCCCGCAACGAACGCAACCCUUGUCAUUAGUUGCUACGAAAGGGCACUCUAAUGAAACUGCCGGUGACAAACCGGAGGAAGGUGGGGAUGACGUCAAGUCCUCAUGGCCCUUAUGGGUAGGGCUUCACACGUCAUACAAUGGUCGGGACAGAGGGUUGCCAACCCGCGAGGGGGAGCUAAUCUCAGAAAUCCGAUCAUAGUCCGGAUCGUAGUCUGCAACUCGACUACGUGAAGUCGGAAUCGCUAGUAAUCGCGGAUCAGCAUGUCGCGGUGAAUACGUUCCCGGGUCUUGUACACACCGCCCGUCACACCAUGGGAGUGGAGUUUACCAGAAGUAGUUAGCUUAACUGAAAAGAGAGCGAUUACCACGGUAGGAUUCAUGACUGGGGUGAAGUCGUAACAAGGUAGCCGUAUCGGAAGGUGUGGCUGGAUCACCUCCUUU